UCUCCGUAGGUGAACCUGCGGAGGGAUCAUUACUGAGUGAGGGUUUAACCGCCCGACCUCCAACCCUUUGUGAAUCGUACUCGUUGCUUCGGGGGCGACCCUGCCGUCCGCGGCCGAGCGCCCCCGGAGGCCAUUAAACACUGCAUCAUUGCGUCGGAGUUAAAGUAAAUUAAACAAAACUUUCAACAACGGAUCUCUUGGUUCCAGCAUCGAUGAAGAACGCCAGC
rnacentral:misc_RNA from 1 species